AGCCUCGCGGCCACCUCCACCCUUGUCUCUAUACACCUGUUGCUUUGGCGGGCCCACCGGGGCCACCUGGUCGCCGGGGGACGCACGUCCCCRGGCCCGCGCCCGCCGAAGCGCUCUGUGAACCCUGAUGAAGAUGGGCUGUCUGAGUACUAUGAAAAUUGUCAAAACUUUCAACAAUGGAUCUCUUGGUUCCGGCAUCGAUGAASAACGCAGCGAAAUGCGAUAAGUAAUGUGAAUUGCAGAAUUCCGUGAAUCAUCKAAUCUUUGAACGCACAUUGCGCCCCCUGGCAUUCCGGGGGGCAUGCCUGUCCGAGCGUCAUUUCUGCCCUCAAGCACGGCUUGUGUGUUGGGUGUGGUCCCCCCGGGGACCUGCCCGAAAGGCAGCGGCGACGUCCGUCUGGUCCUCGAGCGUAUGGGGCUCUGUCACUCGCUCGGGAAGGACCUGCGGGGGUUGGUCACCACCAUAUUUUACCACGGUUGACCUCGGAUCAGGUAGGAGUUACCCGCUGAACUUAAGCAUAUCA
rnacentral:rRNA from 1 species